AGCGAACGCUGGCGGCAGGCCUAACACAUGCAAGUCGAACGAACCUUUCGGGGUUAGUGGCGGACGGGUGAGUAACACGUGGGAACGUGCCUUUAGGUUCGGAAUAACUCAGGGAAACUUGUGCUAAUACCGAAUGUGCCCUUCGGGGGAAAGAUUUAUCGCCUUUAGAGCGGCCCGCGUCUGAUUAGCUAGUUGGUUGACGUAAUGGCUCACCAAGGCGACGAUCAGUAGCUGGUCUGAGAGGAUGAUCAGCCACAUUGGGACUGAGACACGGCCCAAACUCCUACGGGAGGCAGCAGUGGGGAAUCUUGCGCAAUGGGCGAAAGCCUGACGCAGCCAUGCCGCGUGAAUGAUGAAGGUCUUAGGAUUGUAAAAUUCUUUCACCGGGGACGAUAAUGACGGUACCCGGAGAAGAAGCCCCGGCUAACUUCGUG
rnacentral:rRNA from 1 species